rnacentral:lncRNA from 1 species
UUUCGUACCUAGGGAAGGCCACUGCAUCUCUUCAGCCAAUGGAUCAGCACAAGCUGAAAGAGCAACAGCCUUCAGGCGGACAAGCAGUAUCGCAAGCACAAUUGUCAGAUACAACAGUUGGGUUUACCCAAGUCACCUACCCAACGGCCAGGGUAUUAUUGUCUAUUUAGAUCGAGAUCAACAGCUACUAUACUGCUAAAUUGCUGUUCAUGUCAAGUUCGUCUUGUCAUCAACAAGAAUGGCCUUUCUCAUCUUCUUCUGCUUUACUGCAUCCUUUCUUCCCCUUUCCAUCUCUUCUCCAUUGCCAAUCCACUCCUCAACCACAGGUGGGCAACAGGUCGUGCAAGAUUUAGGCCCCGUUUGGUUCCCUUUGCUUAUUUUUAGCACAUGUCGCAUCGAAUGUUUAGAUACUAAUUAGGAGUAUUAAACAUAGACUAUUUACAAAACUCAUUACACAUAUGGAGGCUAAACGGCGAGACGAAUCUAUUAAGACUAAUUAAUCCAUCAUUAGCCAAUCAACACAUUGUCAAAUCAUGAACUAAUUAGGCUUAAUAGAUUCGUCUCGUCGUUUAGCCUCCACUUAUAUAAUGGGUUUUGUAAAUAGUCUACGUUUAAUACUCCUAAUUAGUAUCUAAACAUUCGAUGUGACGGGUGCUAAAAAUAAGCAAAAGUAACUAAACGGGACCUUAGUCAGGUAGCUAAACUGUAUUAAUUUCUGAGACUAAAUUAUACCAUCGUCUUACCGUCAGUGAGUUUAAUCUUCAUUGUUCUUU